rnacentral:misc_RNA from 1 species
AAGUCGUAACAAGGUUUCCGUAGGUGAACCUGCGGAAGGAUCAUUAUUGAAUCCAAAGGAUGUUGCUGGCGUUGCGAAGCGCAUGUGCACUCCACCCUUCAAAUCCACCUGUGCACUUCUUGUAGGCUUUAAUGCCUAUGUCUUUAUACACUAUGAAGUUUAUAGAAUGUGUUGAAGCCUUUGACGGCUGAAAUAUAAUACAACUUUCAACAACGGAUCUCUUGGUUCUC